AUUUAGUGGUUUCUAUUUGUCAGAAAAUGUCACUACGUUUUCACUUGGGGUUCCUAAUUAAACCACCACCAACACCACAUUGCCAUGGAAAACAGGUUAACUCACUUGGAUUGUCACCGAUUUUUUGGAAAUGGAGGGGGUAAGGCCAUGGAAUGAUCCCGGUGCUGUCCCGAGAAGUACCCUAAUUGGUAGAUAAAGUCAUCGCGUUUUCAUAUGGGAUUCUCAUAACAGGCUAUAACGCAAACUUACAUUUUUUUAGAUGGUAAUCAUAGUUGGCGGUGACAUUUUUAAAAAGUGCAUUUUUUUCUGUUUACAAUGGUAUAAGGUUCAUUGUACUUACUUAGACAAUAAACAUGAUAAAGAACUUUUUGUAUUAUUAAGAGUAGUAAGAACAGAUUUUGCCAUGGGAAACAUUUUUGUUCUCUUAAUUACUGUCUAUUAUAAUAUUUAACUUGCAGUUAGUUGUG